rnacentral:rRNA from 1 species
ACGUAGGCAGCGAGCGUUGUUCGGAAUUACUGGGCGUAAAGGGUGUGUAGGCGGUUCUCUAAGUUUGGUGUGAAAUCUCCCGGCUUAACCGGGAGGGUGCGCCGAAAACUGGGGGACUAGAGUGCGGGAAGGGAGAGUGGAAUUCCUGGUGUAGCGGUGAAAUGCGUAGAUAUCUGGAGGAACACCGGUGGCGAAGGCGGCAUUCUGGACCAAUAUUGACGCUGAGGAGCGAAAGCCAGGGGAGCAAACGGGA